rnacentral:lncRNA from 1 species
UUCAAACCUAAACUCUAUUUAAACAAUUGAUCACUCUUAUUUUCAUCACUUUUUGAACCCUACGAAUUUGUGCAUAAUUUCUCUGCAACCUCUCUCAUCACCCUCACCAAAGCUCUCUUAUUCUCUCUCAAAAAAGCCAUUGAAGCUUCAAUUCAGUUUGAGCUAAGCCACCUCACUCUCACUCUGCUAUCAUUUCCAAAGUUUCA